rnacentral:rRNA from 1 species
UACGAAGGGGGCUAGCGUUGCUCGGAAUUACUGGGCGGAAAGGGCGCGUAGGCGGAUAUUUAAGUUAGAGGUGAAAGCCCAGGGCUCAACCCUGGAACAGCCUUUAAUACUGGAUAUCUUGAGUUCGGGAGAGGUGAGUGGAACUCCGAGUGUAGAGGUGAAAUUCGUAGAUAUUCGGAAGAACACCAGUGGCGAAGGCGACUCACUGGCCCGAUACUGACGCUGAGGCGCGAAAGCGUGGGGAGCAAACAGG